CUACAGAGAGUAAAGAGCAACACAGAAACGCUCCAAGCUUCACACACAUCAGUUAGUGACUUUAGCAGGACAAGAGCAAGACAGGGGAAAGGAGGACAAGGGGACAGAAAGAAAAAGAAGAGGGGAAAACACACCAAUUUAAAGAAAAAGACAUAAAGGAGAAAGUGAAAGAAAGUUGCUGCUGCGAAUCCAUCCAGAAGACUGCUGCAGAGACUUUAGCUUGUGUCCAAGUGAAGGGACAAAAACAGUGUGACCGGGACUCUACCAGGGAGGACUGACUGGUUUCUAUCCACAGCGAGCAGGCUGCCAAGCACCAUGGCUGACAACGUGAACGAGGAGUCGGAUUAUAACCCAGGAAAAGAUGAGCUGGACUGGGGCUAUGAGGAAGAGUGGGGACUCCAUUUCCCGGCGGCCAACGGCGAGUAUCAGUCCCCCAUUAAUUUAAACUCCAGGGAGGCUCAGUAUGACCCGUCGCUCCUGGACGUCGGCCUGUCCCCAAACUACGUGGUUUGUCGAGACUGUGAGGUCAUCAAUGAUGGACACACUGUCCGCAUCAUUCUCAAGUCGAAGUCAGUGGUUACUGGGGGUCCGCUGCCUAGCGAUCAUGAGUAUGAGCUUCACGAGGUUCGAUUCCACUGGGGCAAAGAGAACCAGAGAGGGUCAGAGCACACUGUCAACUUCAAGGCUUUCCCUAUGGAGCUCCAUCUGAUUCACUGGAACAGCACCCUGUUCAACACACUGGAGGACGCCCUGGGGAAGAGGAAUGGAAUCCUGAUCAUAGCUCUUUUUGUGCAGAUCGGCAAGGAGCACCUGGGUCUGAAGGCCAUCACUGAAGUUCUUCAGGACCUGCAGUACAAGGGCAAGAGCAAGAUAAUUCCCUGUUUCAACCCCAACACUCUGCUACCUGACCCACUACUGAGAGACUACUGGGUAUAUGAAGGAUCCCUGACCACACCGCCUUGUAGUGAAAAUGUGACCUGGAUACUCUACCGCUACCCUCUCACCAUCUCACAGCUACAGAUUGAGGAGUUUCGGAGGCUGCGGUCUCAUGUCAAAGGGGCGGAGCUGCUAGAAGGAAACGAUGGGAUGUUGGGGGACAACUUCCGUCCCACCCAGCCACUCAGUGACCGCAUGGUUCGUGCUGCCUUCCAGUGACUCCCCCCUUCCACUACCAUCUCAAAAAGACUAUGGGACCUACAUAAACAGAUACACAAGGAGAAAAGAAAGAAGAGGUGUGAAGAGAGAGGAGAGGAAACGGGGGAGAGGGGAAGUUAAUGUGGGUGUAGAUCAGCUGCAGACUGAAGGUGGACGAAGACAUUAUUGAUCUCACACUUUCACCGUGGGCUCUGUAUGUCCGUCUGCUUGUGUGUUUGGAGGUGUCCUCUUCUUCUUUUUUUUUUUUUUUUGCACAAUUUCUCUCCCUGCGUGUGUGUGUGUGUAGAUGCAUUAAUCUGCUGCGUGUUUUUCUUGAUUAGAUGAUAGAAGGCUUUACAUUUGACCCAUCUCUGCUGUCAAAACAAGAGGAAGCAUGAACCACAAAUGUUCAGACUGCGGCUACAGCACACAGGCUAACGUUUUACUUUCCACCUAAAUCAGAAAAAAAUCAUUAAAGGUAAAUGUCUUUAUAUUUAACCUAGAUUCCAACUACAGCUAGAUACAUUUAUGGUGCAUAAAACCCACUGUGAUUGCCUAGAGGGGGCGAUCAGACUUAAAACCAGUUUUGAGAUUUUUGUUGUAAAUGUUGCAUUGAAGGUGAGUGCAAAGUGUGAAACUGAAUCUGAAUCCCACCUACACCGCAGAGGUCAAGAAGACAUAAUUAUUUUCCCCAUAAUUUCCACGUAUUGUUGGUUCAGCUUCCUGAUACUGUAUGUUUCUGUUCAAACUUGGUGCAGAAAAAAACUGACAAACCACAGUGUGUGCCGCUUCAUUCUUCUGGAUCCAUAACUUCCCACUCUGAUCUUCUAAGAAUGUCCUGUUUACAGUUAAAUCAUAUAAGGUCCAGAUAUACGAAUCAUUACUAGUAUUAGUGUCACUGUUUUAUUUUGUCGAUACAUGUUUGUUUUUUAUGCCAUGGGCAAAAGCAAGUAAUUGUAACCACGUUCCUUCUCCUGAUACACAUGACAGUGAAUGUCUUCUCACUGCUUUUUUCUCAGCUUUUAUACAGUGUUGCUAUCACAUUAAUCAUUGGAACACUACACGCAUCACUCCCUUUACAUGUUAGAAAGCAGGAGCACUGCUUUUAUUUGUGUGUGUGUAUAAGUGUGUGUAGUCUUUUAAAAGUACUGUCUGUAACAAAUUGAGCUGAGACAAACUGUGAGAACUGAUUAUUGUUACUGUUUUAGCAACAAUAAACUACAACACUGUCUUACUAAACCGC